rnacentral:lncRNA from 1 species
GAAGUGAUAGCUAAUGCAAUGUCCCUAUACAACAUGGGCACACGAAUUGAACUGGGAACCAGAACUCCAUCAAAAGUAUGAGUACCCAACGGUGGUGCCACCGCAUUUAAGCAGAUAUCGUGGUACUUUUGGACCAUUUCGAGGAUGUAAUUAACAACAUCAUGAUCCUUCUUUAGCUCCUCUAUUGCGACUUGGAAACCUUUUACCAC